GGGGGGGGGGGGGGGGGGGGGGGGGGGGGGGGGGGGGGAUCCCUCCAGGCCCUGCCAGGGGCUCUGAGCUCUCCCUGCAGCUCCUCCUGUCCAGCUGAGCACCCCCAGCUCUCCCAGCCUGGCUCACAGGGGCUCCAGCCCUGCAGCAGCUCCGUGUCCCUGGGGUUGUGCCCAGGGCUCGGGAUAAGCUGCGGCAGUGACACCUCCCAUGGCCUGGGGUGGCACCACCAGCUCUGGGAGGGCCGGACGGGUCCCGACAUCGCCCUCAGAGCGCCCUGGUACAGCCAUGAAACAGCCAUGAAACAGCCCCGACACAACCCUGACACCACCAUGAAAUAGCCUUGACACAGCCCCGACAGAGCCUGAUACAGGCCGGGUACAGCCCCGACAGAGCUGUCACACAGCCCCGAUACAGCCCUGACACUGCCCUGAUAACAGCCGUGACACAGCCCUCACACAGCCCCGACACCAUCCCGACACAGCCUGGAAACAGCUGCUCUCACACUGCCCUCAUACAGCCCGACACAGCCCUGAGACAGCUCUGACAGCCAUGAAACAGCCCAGACACAACCCUCACACCGCCCGGACACAGCCCCGAUACAGCCCUGACACAACCCUCACACCGCCCGGACACAGCCCCGAUACAGCCCAGACACAACCCUCACACCGCCCGGACACAGCCCCGAUACAGCCCAGACACAGCCAUGAAACAGCCCUGACACUGCCCUGAUACAGCCCUUACACAGCCUUCAAACAGCCCUGAUACAUCUCUCACAGCGCCCUCACAUAGCCCUGACAGAUCCCUCACGGAUCCUUCAAGGAUUCCCCUCACCGCUCCCGCCCCUCACAGCGCCCGGAUACAGCCCUGAUACAGCCCAAACACAGCCCGGACACAGCCCUGAAACAGCCCUCACACAGCCUCGAUAUAGCCCCGAUACAGCCCUCACACCGCCCGGAUACAGCCCUGAUACAGCCCAAACACAGCCCGGACACAGCCACACAGCCCUCACACAGCCCUGAUACACCCCAGAUACAGCCCCGACACCGCCCUCAGGCAGCCCCGCACCGCCCUCACGCAGCCCCGCACCGCCCUCACGCAGCCCCGCACCGCCCUCACGCAGCCCCGCACCGCCCUCACGCAGCCCCGCACCGCCCUCACGCAGCCCCGCACCGCCCUCACGCAGCCCCGCACCGCCCUCACGCAGCCCCGCACCGCCCUCACGCAGCCCCGCACCGCCCUCACGCAGCCCCGCACCGCCCUCACGCAGCCCCGCACCGCCCUCACGCAGCCCCGCACCGCCCUCACGCAGCCCCGCACCGCCCUCACGCAGCCCCGCACCGCCCUCACGCAGCCCCGCACCGCCCUCACGCAGCCCCGCACCGCCCUCACGCAGCCCCGCACCGCCCUCACGCAGCCCCGCACCGCCCUCACGCAGCCCCGCACCGCCCUCACGCAGCCCCGCACCGCCCUCACGCAGCCCCGCACCGCCCUCACGCAGCCCCGCACCGCCCUCACGCAGCCCCGCACCGCCCUCACGCAGCCCCGCACCGCCCUCACGCAGCCCCGCACCGCCCUCACGCAGCCCCGCACCGCCCUCACGCAGCCCCGCACCGCCCUCACGCAGCCCCGCACCGCCCUCACGCAGCCCCGCACCGCCCUCACGCAGCCCCGCACCGCCCUCACGCAGCCCCGCACCGCCCUCACGCAGCCCCGCACCGCCCUCACGCAGCCCCGCACCGCCCUCACGCAGCCCCGCACCGCCCUCACGCAGCCCCGCACCGCCCUCACGCAGCCCCGCACCGCCCUCACGCAGCCCCGCACCGCCCUCACGCAGCCCCGCACCGCCCUCACGCAGCCCCGCACCGCCCUCACGCAGCCCCGCACCGCCCUCACGCAGCCCCGCACCGCCCUCACGCAGCCCCGCACCGCCCUCACGCAGCCCCGCACCGCCCUCACGCAGCCCCGCACCGCCCUCACGCAGCCCCGCACCGCCCUCACGCAGCCCCGCACCGCCCUCACGCAGCCCCGCACCGCCCUCACGCAGCCCCGCACCGCCCUCACGCAGCCCCGCACCGCCCUCACGCAGCCCCGCACCGCCCUCACGCAGCCCCGCACCGCCCUCACGCAGCCCCGCACCGCCCUCACGCAGCCCCGCACCGCCCUCACGCAGCCCCGCACCGCCCUCACGCAGCCCCGCACCGCCCUCACGCAGCCCCGCACCGCCCUCACGCAGCCCCGCACCGCCCUCACGCAGCCCCGCACCGCCCUCACGCAGCCCCGCACCGCCCUCACGCAGCCCCGCACCGCCCUCACGCAGCCCCGCACCGCCCUCACGCAGCCCCGCACCGCCCUCACGCAGCCCCGCACCGCCCUCACGCAGCCCCGCACCGCCCUCACGCAGCCCCGCACCGCCCUCACGCAGCCCCGCACCGCCCUCACGCAGCCCCGCACCGCCCUCACGCAGCCCCGCACCGCCCUCACGCAGCCCCGCACCGCCCUCACGCAGCCCCGCACCGCCCUCACGCAGCCCCGCACCGCCCUCACGCAGCCCCGCACCGCCCUCACGCAGCCCCGCACCGCCCUCACGCAGCCCCGCACCGCCCUCACGCAGCCCCGCACCGCCCUCACGCAGCCCCGCACCGCCCUCACGCAGCCCCGCACCGCCCUCACGCAGCCCCGCACCGCCCUCACGCAGCCCCGCACCGCCCUCACGGGCGGGAUAACGGUGUCGGUGAGGUCUGUUCUAUUUCCAGGGUUUUCAUGGAAUCACAGCAGGUUUUUUUGGGUUGGAAGGACCUUAAAUCCCAUUUAAUCCCACCUCUGCCAUGGCAGGGACACCUCCCCCUGUCCCAGGCUGCUCCAGCCCCAGUGUCCAGCCUGGCCUUGGGCACUGCCAGGGAUCCAGGGGCAGCCACAGCUGCUCUGGGCACCCUGUGCCAGCCCUGCCCACCCUGCCAGGGAACAAUUCCUAAUGCCCAAAAUCCCAUCCUCUGGCAGUGGGAAGUUCCCUGUGUGCUGUUUGCUGUCCCCCCAUCCCCUGUGCACAGUCCCUCUCCUCCCCUCAGUCCCUCCUGUUCCCGGUGAUUGCAGCGAGAAACAGCUUUGGAUUCCCGUUGUUUGGCUUGGGAAUCACAGUCUGGCAGAGCCUAAAGGAUAAAUGAGGAAAUAAGAGGUAGAAUGGCAGGAUGGGGGUUUUGGCUCGCAGGGCAGAGCCUCGUCUUUUGUCCUUACACAGCAAAAAAAAACCAACUAUUGCCCAAACCCUAUUGCUCAAAGAGGAAAUACGGUGAAGCAUUACAAAGGAGGGCAGAGAGACUGUUUGUACAGGCAGAGAGAGACAGGACCAGGGCAAUGGUUUUAGACUGCCAGAGGGCAGGGCUAGGUGGGAAAUUGGGCAGGGAUUGUUCCCUGGCAGGGUGGGCAGCCCUGGCACAGGGUGCCUGGAUCCCUGGCAGUGCCCAAGGCCAGGCUGGGAGAUGGAUCCCUGGCAGUGCCCAAGGCCACAGGGUGCCUGGAUCCCUGGCAGUGCCCAAGGCCAGGCUGGGAGAUCCAAAGCAGCGGGUGAUUGUAACUCUGGAAUUCCAGUCCCAGCUCCGCUCAGUGACCUGUCCCCUUCCCCUGUGCCCAGCCCAGCUGCUGCUCCCUGUGCUGCUGCUCCAGGGCCAGGCUCUGGCUCGGAGCUCUCCCGGGUUCUCCAGAGCCUUUCCUGGUGUCACAUGUGAGGGGCCCCCCUUUCCUUCUUCUGCUGAAAUGUUGACUGUAAUUUUCCACUGCUUCCUGCGCCCAGGGGUGUCGUAAGCGUCGAGCAUCAUGUGCUCUUCCUGGGCUUUCCCCUGACACUGCCCUUUGCUGUGUUGCCAUUUCUUGCUUUCUUCUGUUGUUGAAUAGAUUGUGUUAUAUAAUCAUUGUUAUUCUCAACCAUCACUUACUGACAGUAUUGCUCAACAUCUCAUGAGUGAAGCAGUGAAUUUUCUGUAUUAGAAUAGUUUGGGUUGGUUUAGUUUACUGGAAUUUGACUGGCGAAAGAUACAGGCAGACGUGCUAAAAGCAUUUCUGUUUUUUAAUCUCUUCUUUCCACAGAAGUCUAAUCCCUUAUAAUGGUUUCUCAGAACCAAAGUGUCAUCAUGCUCAAGUCUACAAACAGGAAUUAGUUUUUAAUGUCUGGCUUCAGGAAGAAGUCUUGAUUUUUAGGUUUUUCUCUGUAUAUCGAGUCACCACAAAAUGUCUCUGCUGAUUAAACAUCACUGAGUUUGCUCCUUCUUUCCUGCAUAGCUGUUUGUUGGGAAAUUAAUGAUUUGUGGAAUUAAUUUAGGGAAGCAAGCACAAAACUCAUUGGAAAUUGGGGAAUAUGUGAAAGGCUGGAUCACAUUUUGUGUCUGAGGAUCCAGGAGUAUCCUGAGAAAAUGGAUCCACACUCCAGGAAACAACUGCAGUGGUGUUGAACAGGAAAAUGUGCAGGGCAGAGAGAGGAGGGUUAAAAUAUCAGCCCUGCAAGAAAUAAAACUUCUACACAUAAAUUACACAGCAUUGUUUUGUUGGGUGGUUUUAGAAGGCCCCAAAAAUAUCAGGACAUAGCAGUGCUAAUUAGAAGGAAAAUAUUAGAUCAUGUCUCAUAAAAAUUGUAGCAAACUGUUGGAUAAAUAUCUGGAAAAAAGUAUGUUUUUCCUUUGUUUUCAUAUUUUCUGAGUAAAUGUCCUUUGGAAUUCUCUGGGUUUGUCUUAGUCUGUCAGAAGAGCAACAAAUUCCUGCCUUGUGGGAAUAAACUCCGUAGUGGGAGCCACAAGGUUUUAUUGAAUUAUUUGCCUUUCAUGUUUUUGUGCUUUCAGGAGUUAUUUCCCAAAAUCCAAUAAAAGAUUUUGCAGAAAUCAGUCGUGUGCUUUUCCACACAUUCUCUUUUUAGAAGGGGAACUUGUGUAGAAAAAUAAAUCAUAUUUGCAGUGAAGAGCCUCUCCAAGAGUGCAGAGACUGCCCAGCUGAAAUAGGAUUUCCUCUUUCUGCAAUCAAAUAUCAGACUGAUCUCAAACAGCAAUUUCAGAUAUAGCUUAGAAACUGGAACCAUUGGGAAGUAAUUAAUAAAUUCCUUCAGAUAAAACAGAAACAGAUAAAAUAGAAAGUAAAGGCCAAGAGGUGUAUUUUA
rnacentral:lncRNA from 1 species